rnacentral:rRNA from 1 species
UACGAAGGGGGCUAGCGUUGCUCGGAAUUACUGGGCGUAAAGGGCGCGUAGGCGGAUAGUUUAGUCAGAGGUGAAAGCCCAGGGCUCAACCUUGGAAUUGCCUUUGAUACUGGCUAUCUUGAGUUCGGGAGAGGUGAGUGGAAUGCCGAGUGUAGAGGUGAAAUUCGUAGAUAUUCGGCGGAACACCAGUGGCGAAGGCGGCUUCCUGGUCUACGACUGACGCUGUGGCGCGAAAGCUAGGGGAGCAAACGGG